UUGACCUCGGAUCAGGUAGGGAUACCCGCUGAACUUAAGCAUAUCAAUAAGCGGAGGAAAAGAAACCAACAGGGAUUGCCUCAGUAACGGCGAGUGAAGCGGCAACAGCUCAAAUUUGAAAGCUGCCAACAGGCCGCAUUGUAAUUUGUAGAGGAUGCUUUGGGGGUUGGCCCGGUCUAAGUUCCUUGGAACAGGACGUCAUAGAGGGUGAGAAUCCCGUAUGUGACCGGUGCCCGCACCCGUGUAAGCUCCUUCGACGAGUCGAGUUGUUUGGGAAUGCAGCUCAAAAUGGGUGGUAUAUUUCAUCUAAAGCUAAAUAUUGGCCAGAGACCGAUAGCGCACAAGUAGAGUGAUCGAAAGAUGAAAAGCACUUUGGAAAGAGAGUUAAACAGUACGUGAAAUUGUUGAAAGGGAAGCGCUUGCAAUCANACUUGCGGGCGGUCGAUCAUCCGGGGUUCUCCCCGGUGCACUCGUCCGCCCUCAGGCCAGCAUCGGUUUCGGUGGUGGGAUAAAGGCCUUGGGAAUGUGGCUCCUUCGGGAGUGUUAUAGCCCUCGGUGCAAUGCCGCCUACCGGGACCGAGGACCGCGCUUCGGCUAGGAUGCUGGCGUAAUGGUUGUAAGCGACCCGUCUUG
rnacentral:rRNA from 1 species